rnacentral:rRNA from 1 species
UACGAAGGGGGCUAGCGUUGCUCGGAAUCACUGGGCGUAAAGGGUGCGUAGGCGGGUCUUUAAGUCAGGGGUGAAAUCCUGGAGCUCAACUCCAGAACUGCCUUUGAUACUGAGGAUCUUGAGUUCGGGAGAGGUGAGUGGAACUGCGAGUGUAGAGGUGAAAUUCGUAGAUAUUCGCAAGAACACCAGUGGCGAAGGCGGCUGACUGGGCCGGUGCUGACGCUGAGGCGCGAAGGCGUGGGGAGCGAACGGG